rnacentral:rRNA from 1 species
UGGGGAAUAUUGCACAAUGGGCGAAAGCCUGAUGCAGCGACGCCGCGUGCGGGAUGAAGGCCUUCGGGUUGUAAACCGCUUUUGAUUGGGAGCAAGCGAGAGUGAGUGUACCUUUCGAAUAAGCACCGGCUAACUACGUGCCAGCAGCCGCGGUAAUACGUAGGGUGCAAGCGUUAUCCGGAAUUAUUGGGCGUAAAGAGCUCGUAGGCGGUUUGUCGCGUCUGGUGUGAAAGUCCAUCGCUUAACGGUGGAUCUGCGCCGGGUACGGGCAGGCUAGAGUGCGACAGGGGAGACUGGAAUUCCCGGUGUAACGGUGGAAUGUGUAGAUAUCGGGAAGAACACCAAUGGCGAAGGCAGGUCUCUGGGUCGUCACUGACGCUGAGGAGCGAAAGCGUGGGGAGCGAACAGGAUUAGAUACCCUGGUAGUCCACGCCGUAAACGGUGGAUGCUGGAUGUGGGGGCCCC